GGAUUUGUGUCGAAUAAAUUAUCCAAUUGUCUAUGGCUAGUUUUAGGCGCUUGUGGGAACGAGGUUGCUAGGGCGCGGGGCUUUUUAAGUAGGGUAUCAUUGUUUGAUCCAUUGGAGUUUGCCGAACCAACAAGGCAGGAACAGGAUCGCUUUGUGAAGGGGGGCGAGCGUUCGUUCAUCGUAUUUGUUCGAGGAAAAGAAGGGC
rnacentral:lncRNA from 1 species